rnacentral:rRNA from 1 species
AACGCGAAGAACCUUACCAAGGCUUGACAUAAACCGGAAACACUUGGAAACAAGUGCCCCACUUGUGGUCGGUUUACAGGUGGUGCAUGGUUGUCGUCAGCUCGUGUCGUGAGAUGUUGGGUUAAGUCCCGCAACGAGCGCAACCCUCGUUCUAUGUUGCCAGCACGUGAUGGUGGGGACUCAUAGGAGACUGCCGGGGUCAACUCGGAGGAAGGUGGGGACGACGUCAAAUCAUCAUGCCCCUUAUGUCUUGGGCUUCACGCAUGCUACAAUGGCCGGUACAAUGGGUUGCGAUACUGUGAGGUGGAGCUAAUCCCAAAAAGCCGGUCUCAGUUCGGAUUGGGGUCUGCAACUCGACCCCAUGAAGUCGGAGUCGCUAGUAAUCGCAGAUCAGCAACGCUGCGGUGAAUACGUUCCCGGGCCUUGUACACACCGCGCAUA